UCAAAUUUGGAAAAAAUUAUCUCUUUUUCUCAAAUACUUAGUCUUCUGUUGAUGCAUUUGCAACUUUUUUUAUUCAAAGUUGGAGAUCGAGCCGGUGCUUUCAUAUCUGAAAACAACUGGUUUACAAAUAUGAACUUCAAUUAAUCUUUAUGAUCUAUUAAGAUAUAUGAUAUGAUAUGAUAUUUUAAGAUUUAUGUAUAAGAUAUUCCCAAAGUGACUUUCUGCUCUUGUGCUGGGAUGUUGUAAUUCGAAUAAGAAAUUGUAACAACAAAACGUUGGCAUAUGUUAAUUAUUGGGUCCCAAUAUAUUGGUUUCAAAUUGAAAACCAGUAUAUUUGUUGAGCUGCACGGUACAUAUCUACAUGCAAUACAUUUCGCCCAUGAAUAAUUGCAUAUAAGUACAUAAAAUGUCAGACGGUAAGUAGAUGAAUUUCAAUUGAUGCACACGCUUUAGCUUUGGAUGUUGGUAAAUUAGUUUUCUGAUGUGCUGCGUCAUGAAGGAGAGUAGAACGAUGCAGCUAUUUAAUGAUAGCAGCGGUCGAGAAUAACAGACUGAUACUUAAAGGAGAUUGCCUGGUGUUUACUGCGCACUCUGUUAUUUGGCGAUAUAACAAUAUGCAAUUUCAGUAUAUUUAUGAGCUUCAUUUGUAUCUACAAUUUAAUUGUGUACAAUGUAAGUAUAUAUUAUCAAAGUGCGUUGUUAAUGUUUGAUUACAAAUUUCAGUUGACCUGCAUAGGGUCAGGCUAGACAUCAUACAAAAGAAGUGUUUUUCGAGUUGGGAGCCAGUAAGUACUGGGUUAGAAAAUCCGCUUAAGCAACAUUAGAAAUGAGUGUAUGUGAGAGUAUGUUGAUUAUAUAACCUGGUAUAUUCGAUUUAUUCCAGCUGAUGACGUUAGGUGUAAUACAGGAAGAAGAAGGGUUUCAAUUUCAGCCAAUUAUAGGUUUAGUUCUAAGCCAGCUGCGUCGCACUUUACUACCACACUGUUCAAAUUCCGCUGUAGAUCUUCUAAGCUAGAGACUAACAAAACCGUGUCAUCCGCGAGUUACAUAUGUAGUAUCCGCCGAUACUGCAUGGGAACCGCUGACACAGCAGCCAUCAUCCGCUGGAAGUCAUCAAGGUCCAGCAGUUCACACCUGAACGUAAGAAUUGCUGACAAAAGACUUUAACACAAGUUUACAUUUUUAAGUUCAACAAUAAUUAUAUUCAUUCUUGCUCUAAAUGCUCAGCUAACUAGUUGUAGUACAGAAAUAAACCUAUUUUAAAAAGUCUGUUCGUCGUUUAAUACACGUAAUUUGCGCAGUCGGUAGCAUUGUGCCGUAGUUAUCCGAAUCGUGCGGGAAAAAACUAUGUGGGUUUCUACCCUUAAGUACAAUCCAGAACUUUGGACGACGACAGCAGAGGCCAAGAGCAGAAUCAGGAGAAGAAGCCUGGAGACUACAGAAGAUCAAACUCACUCACCAACGCAA